UACGGAGGGUGCAAGCGUUAUCCGGAUUUACUGGGUUUAAAGGGUGCGUAGGUGGGCAGGUAAGUCAGUGGUGAAAUCUCCGAGCUUAACUCGGAAAUUGCCAUUGAUACUAUCUGUCUUGAAUAUCCUGGAGGUAAGCGGAAUAUGUCAUGUAGCGGUGAAAUGCUUAGAUAUGACAUAGAACACCAAUUGCGAAGGCAGCUUACUACGGGAUUAUUGACACUGAGGCACGAAAGCGUGGGGAUCAAACAGG
rnacentral:rRNA from 1 species